AACGAACGCUGGCGGCAGGCCUAACACAUGCAAGUCGAGCGAGGACUUCGGUCCUAGCGGCGGACGGGUGAGUAACGCGUGGGAACGUGCCCUUUGCUUCGGAAUAGCCCUGGGAAACUGGGAGUAAUACCGGAUGAGCCCUUUGGGGGAAAGAUUUAUCGGCGAAGGAUCGGCCCGCGUUGGAUUAGGUAGUUGGUGGGGUAAUGGCCUACCAAGCCGACGAUCCAUAGCUGGUUUGAGAGGAUGAUCAGCCACACUGGGACUGAGACACGGCCCAGACUCCUACGGGAAGCAGCAGUGGGGAAUCUUAGACAAUAGGGGAAACCCUGAUCUAGCCAUGCCGCGUGAGCGAUGAAGGCCUUAGGGUUGUAAAGCUCUUUCAGCUGGGAAGAUAAUGACGGUACCAGCAGAAGAAGCCCCGGCUAACUCCGUG
rnacentral:rRNA from 1 species